rnacentral:lncRNA from 1 species
AAGAGAGCUAAACAGAAUAGGUUGGACCCCCUGCAUGUAGACAGUGAUGAUGAUGAAUGGCAAGAAAGUCAUCAUGGUGAAUUUGCAAUGGGAGAAGAUGAAGAUUCUGUAGUGGAGUCUCCUCUGGAAGAUGAAGAUGAAGAUGAAGAUGAAGAUGAUGAUGAUGCUGGUGAGGAAGAUGAAACCGAGGAGGAAGAAAUAUCUGAAACAGCUGAUGACAUAGAGAAUUGUGAUUUUUAUGCCCUCGCUAGGAACAAUGAAAAAGGGACCUGUGGUGCUGUGAAAGGGUGCAUUUCUAGUCAGAC